ACAUUUGUACCUGACAAGAUACCCUCGUAUCUUGGUAAGGUGGGAAGCUUCGCAAGGUAUAUUGGGACGGAGAAACCAGAGAUCACCUGGUACAUGUUUCUGGGAACAAUUGCCAUUCACGUUGCAGAAGCUGCGUACGCCUACGUCUUGUGUUGUCGGUUUGGUUUAACCUCCUCCGCGACAAAGAAAUGGACGUUUCAAACUUUCCUUUUUGGAGUGGCAUCUUUAUCCAUCCUAAGGCGAUACAAAUCACGGUCUGAGUGAUGCUUUGUUUGUGAUUUCGUUGAUUUCAGGAACAGCAACUCGUAGCUGUGUGCGUGACAGUUUUGUGAGAAAAUACCAGAUUUUCUUUUUAUCAAUGCACAUAAGCAUAUGAAAAUUACUUGCUUAAGAGGUUGUGUUAAUUUAUAAGGAUGAUUAAUUUUAAAAAUUGAACUUUUAAUAAGAAAAUUUCUUGGGCUUAAAUUUCCAUUUUACAUUUGCUUGUGUACUUAAGAUUAUACAUAUGCAAAGGAGAAGUUAUGAGGAUACAAAUAUGUUAUGAGUAUAUUUUUCAUUCAUCUCUGUUGUGGAAUCAAAAAAGGUUAUGUUAAAUAUAAAGAUACUUUAUUGUUGAAUUUCCUGGAAUAGUUUGCCAAUCUGUAUUAAUGCAAUUCUGUGGAGAAAGAAAAAUGGCUAAUCAUUUGGGGUGGUGAAAAUAGUGUUUUACACGAUCAUGUGUAAUUAUUAUUUUAGUAUAAAAGAUUUAUAUGUUUGUAAACCAUUUUACGUCUUGAUGAUUCCUUUGUGAUUUUUUGAUGUUUUUCUGAAAAGAUGUGCAGCGUAUGUGUGUAUCCCAUGGCUACCUAUAAAAUGUUACCCUCCGAUGUUCUUGCAUCAUCUGUAUAUCAGAAAAUCAAGGAAGUUUUCCUAUUUGUGCCAAACUUGUCAUUUUAUACUUCACUACAAUUCCAAAGAAACAAUGCUCCAUAACAGAUGUCAAUUUAUUUUUAUUUUUAUUUUCGAUUGAUGUUGUGAAAUCCUAAAGAUCUAGCACAAACACAAGGAAAUGUUAAAUCCAACGUCUGCUGGUGAAAGUUCAGGGAAUUUCUGCAUACCCAAGUUGAUAGAUUCUGAAAUGGAAUCCACAAGUCCGGCCAUAAAAGUUAAAAAAAAAUCAAAAAAAGAGAUGAUCAGACAACAUCAAAUGGGGAUUCUCAGGAAAAUUAAUCCAGUUUACAUGUUUUGGCAACUGAUAUUGUCUGGUCAUCUCUUCUCUUGAUCUAGCUGAUGUUUAAUAGAAUAUAUAUAUUUAUUAAUUGCUGUAUAAAAUGUAUAACAUUGUACAAACAUUUUUGUAUAUAU